GGUUUAUGAUGACACAGGACCUUGUCUGAACAUGGUGAUUUCACAUUUUGAGCUUAAAAGGAUACCCUGAAAUCCAGUCAAUGUGCCUCACUAGACUUUUCAGAGAAUAUUAUUCUUGACAGAAAAUGUUGGCUUGAUAUGUGAAAACUUAGUUAGAAAUGGCAGGUGUAGUAGUACACUUUGCCAGUUCUUCAAAUACCUAUUUUUUUCCCUUUUCAUAGGUUUGUGUGAGCUAAUUCUUUUUUUUCUCUUUUUCUCUUACACUAUAUAUACACACACGUGUGUGUAUAUAUGUGUGUGUGUGUGUGUUUGUGUGUGUAUGUACCCACAAACACUGUUCAAAACAAAAAUGGAGGCUCGUCCUUGGAUCUCAGAAGGCCGCAAGUGGUGACAUGGAAACAAAGACAUGUAAAAAGCAGAUCACCACCUCUUACAGCAAACAUUGAGUGACAAAGUUCUAAAUAUCUAAGUGAUGUCCAAAAGAAUAUUUAUGGAACAUUUUAAGAAGACGGUGAGUGUGUGGCUGUAAUGAAUAGUUUUGAGUGAUCAUGAAGAACCUGUGACAUAGACUAGUGCAGCAGAGUUACCCAGCGAAAUAAAGACUGUUGGGUUACCGAAGGAAAGAAGAAGAAAGAAGACAGGAUUUGAGGUGAACAUGGUAAAAAAUGACACACUUGCAUAUAACCUGAGGAUAGCUGGCAUCAGGAACAUCCUUAUGCAACUAUGCCUAUGGAGUUCUUAUUCUUAUGCAAACAUGCCUAUGGAGUUCUUUCAUUUAUAAAUUUCAAAUUUAAACCACAGGAGAUGACAGUUACAAGAAAACAUACUUUUGCCACGUUUGUUUUUAAAUCUCAGUAAUUGGUACCACCAGACCUGUUGCAGUAUUCUCAUUCCAAGUGUUCUUCACUCCCAUCUUUGGACCCUGGAGAAGCCCUUGGCCAUCAUAAUCUGUGUCCUUUAGGUGAUGAUUGAUUAGGAUACUGAUCACUUCUGCAACCAUCUUCACUAAAAACCAAAAGACAGUCUUCAUAAUGUAUGUAGACUCGGCAUUGAUGUGUUACAAUAGACACUCCCUGUAGAUCAGAAAAACUGGACUUAGAAGGCUCAAGUUCGAAAGUGACGUGAAGGAUGUUAUUGGAGAGAAUUGUAACCAGGCAUGUUGAGAGAUUUCAAUUGUUGCCAUUGGACUAAAUCUCAGGAGCUUUACUGAUGGAGGCAUCAUUACAUGGAGAAGAUCAGCAUGGAGUGAUUGCAAGGCUUCGUUUCAGUGCUCUCAUAAACAUUAGGUUCUUGUAUUUAAAAUUUUAACUUAUCACAGGGAAAUUUAAAAUUGAUUCAUAAAAAAUCGUCUUUUUCAAGAUCUCAAAGGACAUGGAAAUUUGUGAAAAUAUUCCCUGUCUAUACUUGCAUUUUUUCUCUCAAUUGGUGCUUAAAAUUACUUUGCAAGUUGGAAAAAUAAUGCAGUUUUAAUUUCAUUUGCAACAAAUUUAAUAGAUUAAUUAGGAGAGACUAGAUCUCUUUAAAAAUUGAGUCUUCCUACCCAACAGCAAGUAUCUCCCUCUGUACUCUCCCAGGUGGUGAACAUAUGGACAAGAGGAUCAUAGAAAUCUUCACAGUGGUUUCAUCCACAGCAUCACCCAAUUGCUGUCAUUAUUUACCCCUUUCAGAAGCUUGUCUCAUCUUUGUAUCCCGAAAGGCAUGCCUUGAUAUAUGUAUCCUUGGGAAUAGAAGUGACGUUGCUUUUGACAAGUAAUUUCCUGGAAUGUUGUUAGUAGUUCUCUGUGCUCUGAAUGUAUCUUGUGUUUUUCUUUAUUAUUGUUUUUACCCCAUUGGACUUUUUUUAUCCAUGUUUUACUUUACAAAUGUGAGAUUUGUGUGUGAUAAAUAUGAUUAGUGCAACCCUCUGGACACCUUGCUCGUGGCCCAGUUAAUAACCAGGCUUUCCCAUGACCCCAUGCUUCCCAUGUACUAUUUUUGGUAUCAUUUUUAAGAUACUUUGUUCCUCUUUUGAAUCAUAAGCCCACAGUUUUUAGAUCAAUCCCUUUUAAAAAAAUGUUUUUUUAAAAGAUCCUUUUAAAACUUUUGUAUUGCCUGUAACAGGCUGCCUCCAGUUUCACUUUAUAUUGAACGUACUAGGUCUCAAUAUAGAACAUGAUCUGAAUCUGAAUGUAGUUUUUCUCUUCCCAAUAUACAAAUAUAAUUCCUGGAUGCCAUCACAACACUAGUGUAUAGGUGAACCAUACGCUUUCAUUGACAUUUGAAGCCAUGGUAAAGCAAUCUUGUAGAAAAUGGUUCCACAAUUUUCUUGGCAUCACUGACAUGUUCUUAUUUGUGACUGGAGUAAAAACUCAAGUUAGCAAAGAGAUUUUCAUUUAAUCCAUAUUACUCUGAUUUUCACUCAUAUCUGUUUACUCUGAGUGGGCUUAUUAUAGAUAGCUGUGUUUAUUCGAAGUUUUGUUUACUUCUGGAACAUAAGCUGCCCUGUCAUUAGAGAACUAGUAAUUACAUUGUCCAGAUUCUUACUAUACAGGCUAAAACUGAAUGCAUUGAAAUGGGCCACAGAGAAUGAAUGGGUUAUUAAAGAAUUUAAAGUGAA
ensembl:lncRNA